UGCAAGUAGAACGCUGAAGGAGGAGCUUGCUUCUCUGGAUGAGUUGCGAACGGGUGAGUAACGCGUAGGUAACCUGCCUGGUAGCGGGGGAUAACUAUUGGAAACGAUAGCUAAUACCGCAUAAUAGUAGAUGUUGCAUGACAUUUGCUUAAAAGGUGCAAUUGCAUCACUACCAGAUGGACCUGCGUUGUAUUAGCUAGUAGGUGGGGUAACGGUUCACCAAGGCGACGAUACAUAGCCGACCUGAGAGGGUGAUCGGCCACACUGGGACUGAGACACGGCCCAGACUCCGACGGGAGGCAGCAGUAGGGAAUCUUCGGCAAUGGACGGAAGUCUGACCGAGCAACGCCGCGUGAGUGAAGAAGGUUUUCGGAUCGUAAAGCUCUGUUGUAAGAGAAGAACGAGUGUGAGAGUGGAAAGUUCACACUGUGACGGUAUCUUACCAGAAAGGGACGGCUAACUACGUGCCAGCAGCCGCGGUAAUACGUAGGUCCCGAGCGUUGUCCGGAUUUAUUGGGCGUAAAGCGAGCGCAGGCGGUUAGAUAAGUCUGAAGUUAAAGGCUGUGGCUUAACCAUAGUACGCUUUGGAAACUGUUUAACUUGAGUGCAAGAGGGGAGAGUGGAAUUCCAUGUGUAGCGGUGAAAUGCGUAGAUAUAUGGAGGAACACCGGUGGCGAAAGCGGCUCUCUGGCUUGUAACUGACGCUGAGGCUCGAAAGCGUGGGGAGCAAACAGGAUUAGAUACCCUGGUAGUCCACGCCGUAAACGAUGAGUGCUAGGUGUUAGACCCUUUCCGGGGUUUAGUGCCGCAGCUAACGCAUUAAGCACUCCGCCUGGGGAGUACGACCGCAAGGUUGAAACUCAAAGGAAUUGACGGGGGCCCGCACA
rnacentral:rRNA from 1 species